rnacentral:tRNA from 1 species
GAACCGUUAGCUCAGCUGGUUUAGAGCGCUGCCUUGACAGGGCAGAGGUCACUGGUUCGAAUCCAGUACGGUUCA